UGAAGAAUUCUGAUCGGUUGAGUGCGGUCGGAGUUCGGGAUGGGGAUUUGGUGAUGAUGGUCGCUGCCGCAGCUACCACCGGGGGAUCAUCCACCAACGAUUUGGGAAUAAAUCCAGAUGGAUCUGCAGUGAACCCUGUAAUCUUCCAGCAGCGCAUUCGGCGUGAUUCACAAACAAUGGCUCAACUGUUACAGAACGAUCCAGCACUUGCGCAAGCCAUACUUGGAGACGAUCUUGAAAGCUUACAGAAGCUUUUGCGAGAGCGUCACGAACAAAGAUUGCAUUUGCAACGUAAACAAGAGGAAGAACUUGCGUUGAUGUUAGCUGAUCCUAUGGAUGUUGAGGCACAGAAAAAAA
rnacentral:misc_RNA from 1 species